rnacentral:rRNA from 1 species
UACGUAGGGUGCAAGCGUUAAUCGGAAUUACUGGGCGUAAAGCGUGCGCAGGCGGUUGUGUAAGACAGAUGUGAAAUGCCCGGGCUUAACCUGGGAACUGCAUUUGUGACUGCACGGCUAGAGUUUGGCAGAGGGGGGGUAGAAUUCCACGUGUAGCAGUGAAAUGCGUAGAUAUGUGGAGGAAUACCGAUGGCGAAGGCAGCCCCCUGGGUCAAGACUGACGCUCAUGCACGAAAGCGUGGGGAGCAAACAGG